CUGGUUUCCUGUCCUUUCCAGGAUUUACUCAGCAGCUGUAAAGGUUCCAUGUCCCUGUCCAGAAGAACUGAGCAGGACAAGUCCUGAGGGCUCACUUGGUCCGUGGCCAAAGUUCUGGAGAGUGUCAGGGCUGUCCAGCCUGCAGAGGGGCGUUUCCUGCAGUGAGAAGAACAUAAACUCACAGCCUGGCAGUCCCCUGCAGUGAGAGCUCAGCAGACAUCCACAGAGGCAAGUCCAGCAUCUGAAAGAAAGAAGAAGAAAAAAGGCCCCACUUGUGAGCUUUUCCAUGCUUUGCCAUUGGCCUUUGGACAAAGGAGGGGAAGGAUCUGUUCCAUGUGGGUGUCAUCCAAAGAGGCACAGCCCCUGUGCCAAGCCCAGCCUGGGCUGAGCAAGCUCCCUCACUUUCCCCCAGCCUGGAUUCUGGCUCCAGUCCAGUCUAAGUUUUCCCCUAUUUCCAUGUCUAGAGACAGAAAGUUGUUCUGUCAGGAUGAAAGACCUUAAACUGCACAUUGACUGGGGGGCUGUGACUGGGAUUCCAGCAGGGAAUUCAUUGUUUUACAAACAGGAACUAUUCCAGGG